rnacentral:lncRNA from 1 species
UUGUGGUGCUGUUGUCAACCCCGAACGAAAGGGCGCUCAUGAAUGAGCUGAGCAUCGAGUUGUUCAGCCCAAUUAGCUAUGUGUCGUUUCACAGAUGUGAGUUUAUAUCAACAUCCCAAAUACAACAACAAUUGUGGAGGUGUGAGAGGUUUACGCUAACUUACAUUUUCCUGUGUAGACACAAAUGCUAACCAAAAGGGCUCACAAAUCACAGAAGAACAGAAAAAAGAGGAAUCAUCUGGACAUCUGGUGAGUAUCAAACAACUUCUUUUGAAUUAUUUGCAUGUUUGACAAAAACCAUAUCUGUAGCAUUCUCCCUAUGUUCCAAAAUAGAGUAGUUGUUUUCUUUUCUUUUAAAGAUGAGCUUACUAGUUCACAAAGUUGCUCCUUUUCCAAGCCUCCCCUCUCACAUCUUCACCAGGAGACAAAGAUGCCCCCUCCAACUCUUACUGCAACCUUAUUGCAACUAACUUAGGCCUACCCUUUGUCCAAACUGAAAUCCACUCAAUGCAGGUGGAUUUUGUUCCAACCACUAUCCUAGCUUCUCCAUGCUUCACAACGAAACACUCCUUUUGCCUAGAAAAAACAACAAUGAACAGUUACUAUGGAGUAUGGACUGACUUAAUUGAAUCAGUAAUACUUGGUAGCAGUCACCACUCACCAGUACUGGAUUGGUUUCAAAACAAGCCAAAAGCGUGGUGCUUAGUUAACUUAACCUGUAUAACUCUGUUGUUAAGUAGAAACAAUGUAUGUACUAGCCGCAACUUGUGCUCUGCUUUUCAUGUGAAGCUCAUAUUUGCUAAUUUUGCAGUAGUAGCAGCUUCAAGAACUUUGUGGUUCAGGCGAACCUUUGAGACAGGGUUGUAAUUCAGCGAGUGCACGCCGAACACUUCAUGUUGCAAUUUUUGAUUCAAUCAAGACCAACUUCAUGUCGCAAUCUUUGAUUCAGUCAAGACCAACUUCAUGUCGCAAUCUUUGAGAAAGUGUUGUAAUUCAGCAAGUGCACGCCAAACACUUGUAGUUACCAUUCUCAUCUUAUGAAUUCAACAUGUAAACCCCCUCUCUAAAUUUGCACUAUUUCCAGCAUUUGUUUCCUUAAUAGUUGUGGCAACUACCUCCCUUGGCCAAGUUGGAUCACUAUUUCUUCUUCAGAAGUAUACAUGUGGCUAAGUAUUUACG